rnacentral:misc_RNA from 1 species
GGAUGAAGAACGUAGCGAAAUGCGAUAAGUAAUGUGAAUUGCAGAAUUCAGUGAAUCAUCGAAUCUUUGAACGCACAUUGCGCCCGCCAGUAUUCUGGCGGGCAUGCCUGUUCGAGCGUCAUUUCAACCAUCAAGCCCCCGGCUUGUGUUGGGGACCUGCGGCUGCCGCAGGCCCUGAAAACCAGUGGCGGGCUCGCUAGUCACUCCGAGCGUAGUAAUACAUCUCGCUCAGGGCGUGCUGCGGGUUCCGGCCGUUAAAAAGCCUUAUUUACCCAAGGUUGACCUCGGAUCAGGUAGGAAGACCCGCUGAACUUAAGCAUAUCAAUAAGCGGAGGA